UGUCAGCAAAGUGUAAACACAAGCCAUUUACUAAAAAUUGUUUUACAUAUUACUUACUAUACCAAGCCAUCUUGUAAAUGCAAACUAUUACUCCACUUCAGAGAAUAUCAAAUCAGGUGUUGCCAACUCCCUUUUUCUUAGAGAGUUUCUUUGUUUCUGCACCUUCAUAGUUCUUACAGCCUACCAGGCACAUUUUUAGCAGGUGACCCUUUGAGUAGAGUUUCACCUGCUUUCUUUCUCCCUCUCAGACAAAAAUUAAGUGAAACAGACAGUUUCUAAUUCCAGAAAAUUAUGAUGAAUAAACAAAUUAGAGCGGGUCAAUGAAGUGCUUAUAUACAGUUGUCAAAUGCAUUGAAAAAGUGUAUGAAGACUUUCAGCUCAAUCCUAUUUACAUAAGGAGUGCUGCAACUAGGAAGAAAGGGAGAAGCUAUCUCAUAUCUUUUCAGAUCCCGCUACUUAAGCUGGAAUACACAACACUUGAGCUGGCGAAUGAGGAGAUGAUGCCCCUCCCCACCAGUUUCUCUUAACCGUGGUCUUUAGGAAUUGCUGCACAACAGGAUUUAUUUCCAAGGGGUGUCUCUACAACUGAUUGAUCAUCCGCUCUGACCAAUCCCCGUCUGCCAUUCUCCCUGCCAAGGAAAUCCCCAGUGACAUCAACUGAACUCUCAGCCAAUCCCGGUGAAGAUUGGGUGAAGAUUCCUGACCAGCCUCUUUGCCAACCAAUCAGGGGAGGGAGCAGGAAUUCUGAAUGGUUUCAGAACUGUAUAUGAACUGUAUAAGAUGUCUUGCAUUUCUCUCUAUCUUUAUCCUUGCACCUUUGGAAGCAAAUUGCUUUUACUUGCAUACCUUUUGGCCGAAUCGUAAUAAACCUCUGUGGCUUGUCUUCAACCUGGUGAGUUGGUUUCUCUGUCCUAGCCUAUCUGCUCACCAGGCACAGACUCUCUAACUGCAGUCCUAGGAAAAUCACUAUAGUUCCAAGGACUAAUUAUUACACACCUGUUUUAUUAAUGUAACAUCUAUUAGGAAUGAAAAUAUCACAAUUUUUCCAAAUAGUUCUCAAAAGACCCACCACAUCAUCUAGAAUCCAGUCCUUGAUACUAACGAAGCCUCCAACCCUGAAAUGAAUUCCUGAGAAGACGAUCCUCAAUUCCUACACUGAAUGACAAACCAAUUGAGAAUAAUGCCAAUUAUAGAAAUAACAAGCUUGCUUCACCAUGGACAUCCACUUCCCAAGCACACUUAUGAUGGAAUUAAAAAUGGCUAAUUCUGUGGAACUACAGUACUUUGAUUGUGAUGAAGUAGCAUCCCAUGCAGACAAUUCUCAAGAUUCGCAAACUUUCCAUACCAUCAGAAUGCAUCCAGGCAUACAAACAGGUUUGGAUGGUAUAUAGGUCCUUGUGGUGUAGCCUUAUAACACCAGAUCAUGUUAGACCUUUGCCCUAAGCAGUUCUCCUCACACAGUGCUCUUCAAAAGAGUUGAAAUGCAAAUCCCAUUGAAGUUGAUAAGCUAGGACCAUGGAUAAAAGAAUCUGUGCCCAUCGAGCAUAAGCUAAACUGAAUGGGUCAGGACAGAAAAACACUCACCAAGCUAAUGUCCUUGGUUUCAAUAUGACCCUUGCUUGAACUGCUCCUCUGGCAAACCCUAGAUGUCAAUAGUAUGGGAUGGGGGAUCUUACUAUUAUGUGGGAACAACCUCUUUAAAACUAUAAAUACCUUGUCUCCAGUCUCAAAGCCUUCAUGAUUCAGCACUUCUGUAAAUAAUUUACAAUAUGAUAAAAGAGAGAGGUUUUAGUGGGAUGAAAAUGAAGCUAGUUGUUGCAAUGUGAGGGCAGCUGUUAGGUAAAUUAUGAUGAAACAGGUCAGCUUAAUCCUACUACUGAAGGGGGGAAAUAAGCUUCUAUCUGAAAAAGAAAGAGAGAAAAAAAAUCUCAACAUUGAGUCACUGUUUAAUAAACUGAACAUUACUCACUAAGGCUCAGAUAAUAAAAAUAAUGCCUGAUGCGUUUAUACUGGGUCUAGAAGAAGAGCCACAGAACUGUGUUUUGUUUGUGUUUCUUUGAAAAACUCUCUGCCACAGAGGAGUCAUUAAAAAUGAACAUUAACAAAAGGCUCAAGAUGAAUUGUUGAUGUAACCUUCCUAACCCUCUCUUCUGCUCCCACACCCGCACCUCAGACUCACUAAAACCCUCAUUACAAAAGUCGGGGGACAGAUUCCCAGCUUAAAUAGUUUUACAUUGUGAAUCCAAGUGAAUGUGCAAAUUAUUAUGUUUUCUCCUUUCAAUUUUCCAGUUUUACAAAUCCUGAAGAACAGAUGACAGCAUAUAUAACCAGAGCCUGGGAAAAACUUUUCCAAAUGUCGGACACAGCAUUACAUUCUUCAGUGCUCACACACCCAUGUUCCAAAGUGCUAUCCCACAUUCUGCAUGUUCUUUCAAAGACAGGUCACAUUGGGUGAAUGAAUAGAAGUCUGGUUCCACACUCAGGAUACAUUUAUACUGAAUUAAUGCAGUUUUAUAGCACUUUAACUACCAUGGCUCAAUGCUACAGAAUCCUGGGAUUUGUAGUUUGGUGAGUCAAUAACAUCUUGUAGCAGAAAAGGCUAAACACCUUGCAACACUACAGCUUUCAUGAUUCCAUAGCAUUGAGCUAUGGCAGUUAAAUUUGUGCCAACUUGCAUUCAUUCUACAGUGUAGUUCCAACCACGGUGUUUGAAUGUUUACUUGCUUCGCCGUUAGGGAAAUUUUUGAUUUUGGAGUAUUUCAGCCUGAAGUAUUUUGGAUUUCCAAAUAAGUGAAGCUCGAACCUCUUGAUUUCUUUAGCAUCUGGAAAUGUUACACCAGAGCUGUUGCACUACUCAGCAAGGGAACUGAUGGUACUAAAUAGUACAAAAGAUUUGUUUUCCAUGCUAUAACCCCAACUCCUUUCAAUAUUGGUUACAUUUUUAUACCAAUGCAUUGUGCUUCAUCAUUCCAGGAAGCAUUUGCCUCCUAGAUUUAAUUCAAGACAUUUUAUUCCAACAAACAAAGUGAUUCUAUCCUUUAAAGCCAAUCUGAAAAUCUGUACAGUCUCCCCAUAUUCUGAAGCAUUUCAAAGAGGAAAAUCU
rnacentral:lncRNA from 1 species